UUGCAGGCCAUCCAUUUGGUCAGCUCCUCUUAAAUGUAUUAGCGGAACUCUAUGCAGUACCGGCUUCGGUUUGAUAAUCCUAUCUAUGCUGUCGCUGUGAACUGUGCUGUUUGGCUUAUAACUGUCUUCGGACUGCCAUUUACUUGGUAUAAAUUUUUAAGCUUAACCUCAAAUCAGGUAGGACUACCCGCUGAACUUAA
rnacentral:misc_RNA from 1 species